rnacentral:rRNA from 1 species
AUUGAACGCUGGCGGCGUGCCUAACACAUGCAAGUCGAGCGGUAACAGGUGUAGCAAUACAUGCUGACGAGCGGCGAACGGGUGAGUAAUGCUUUGGAAUCUUCCCAGUAGUGGGGAAUAACCAGUCGAAAGAUUGGCUAAUACCGCAUACGUCUGUAAAGGGAAAGCGGGGGACUCGCCUCUUCUUCGGAAGAGAGACCUCGCGCUAUUGGAUGAGCCAAAGCGGAUUAGCUAGUUGGUGGGGUAAUGGCCUACCAAGGCGACAAUCCGUAGCUGGUCUGAGAGGACGACCAGCCACACCGGAACUGAGACACGGUCCGGACUCCUACGGGAGCAGCAGUGGGGAAUAUUGGACAAUGGGGAAACCCUGAUCCAGCGACGCCGCGUGUGUG